rnacentral:rRNA from 1 species
UACGGGGGGGGCAAGCGUUGUUCGGAAUUACUGGGCGUAAAGGGCUCGUAGGCGGCCAACUAAGUCAGACGUGAAAUCCCUCGGCUUAACCGGGGAACUGCGUCUGAUACUGGAUGGCUUGAGUUUGGGAGAGGGAUGCGGAAUUCCAGGUGUAGCGGUGAAAUGCGUAGAUAUCGGAAGGAACACCAGUGGCGAAAGCGGCUUCCUGGUCCAGCACCGACGUCAGGCACGAAAGCGUGGGGAGCAAACAGG